rnacentral:misc_RNA from 1 species
GAUGAAGAACGUAGCGAAAUGCGAUAAGUAAUGUGAAUUGCAGAAUUCAGUGAAUCAUCGAAUCUUUGAACGCACAUUGCGCCCGCCAGUAUUCUGGCGGGCAUGCCUGUUCGAGCGUCAUUUCAACCAUCAAGCCCCAGGCUUGUGUUGGGGACCUGCGGCUGCCGCAGGCCAUGAAAACCAGUGGCGGGCUCGCUGUCACACCGGGCGUAGUAGAUUUUAUCUCGCUCAGGGCGUGCUGCGGGUUCCGGCCGUUAAAAAGCCUUUUUUACCCAAGGUUGACCUCGGAUCAGGUAGGAAGACCCGCUGAACUUAAGCAUAUUAAUAAGCGGAGGA